UACGUAGGGGCAAGCGUUGUCCGGAAUUAUUGGGCGUAAAGCGCGCGCAGGCGGUCCUUUAAGUCUGAUGUGAAAGCCCACGGCUUAACCGUGGAGGGUCAUUGGAAACUGAGGGACUUGAGUACAGAAGAGGAGAGUGGAAUUCCACGUGUAGCGGUGAAAUGCGUAGAGAUGUGGAGGAACACCAGUGGCGAAGGCGACUCUCUGGUCUGUAACUGACGCUGAGGUGCGAAAGCGUGGGUAGCAAACAGGAUUAGAUACCUGGUA
rnacentral:rRNA from 1 species